CUUUGGUUGCCUCUGCUUUUAUAAGUGCUAUACAAGUAAUAAAUUGAUUGAUUGAUAUAAACAUACUUUUAUUAAAAUUGGGCUAAAGGUACAUGUAUUUUGGGUAUAUAUUUGUAGUAAACGUGUAGGUUUUAGCAAAAAUUGCGUAACCAGUGGAAUAUUCUCUGAUCUGCUGUGCUGCAAACGUGACUUUGGAAGCUGCAAAGGCCAGGGAGUUGUCCUGAGGGUUUAGCAAUGCAUGCUACAGGUCUAAACAUAAACCAUGCAGCUCACAUUGCAGAAGCCCAGAGGAAAUAUAGAGUUGAGAUAAGAGUUUGAACAAACAUUUCCGUGAUUCUUUGCUCAUGUGAAGGUCUAUUCUGAGCAGAUUGAAUGUGAGGUCAGAGAGAGGAUGUUGUGUCUCUGGCUCCUUCCCAGGCUUUCUUCUGUUUACAUAAAGGAGCACCACAGCCAAACAGCAGCAGCAGGCGCUCUCCACUGACUUACUAUAGAGGCUUUGAAAACAUGUCUGCUGCUACAAAAGAGUUGAAAUGGAGAUUUCCUCACCUGAUAUUCUUUACAGGAAGAGAUCGGCGGAAAUGGUUAGGUGAUGUGAAAACCCUGACGGAGGUCUGACAGUCAGCUCUGGUUCGAUGACGGCUCCACCCAGUAGAGUGGGGAUCUUCGGAAAAGUGGAAAGAUCCAGAUGAUUGGCCGUUGUUUCUUUGUUGGCCGCUUUCAUCAAAGGAAGACUCGUCUGCUUUGGAGACCCGCCCUUCCAUGGACAUCUUAUGGCCGGAAACUGCUGAGACUUUAUCUACACCUGGUCCAAAUAUGACCGCAUCGAGACUCCUUUUUUUUGACCCUGCAAUAGACUGUGGCUCAGUUGGCUGCAUGUUGGACUGGUGCAUGGGAAACCAGGGAGUUGUUUCCCAGGGGGCUUGGGUCUUUGAGCAAGACCCUUUGCGCUACCGGCCAUCUACAGUAUGUAGCCACAAGGGGCCCGAGUCUGGCAUUCCACCUGGGCCGGUCCCCAAACCCUAGUUUUCCAUGUGUUAGUUCUAUGCUUAACCAACUUAGCGCUCUAAACCUCUAGCAGGAUACAAGCCAGAUUUCCUAACAGGGAACUCAACAUCACUAAAAUGAUAUGAAAAUGGUGGAAAAUUAAGAAAAUCAGUCUUCAACGUUUUUUGUUGAAUUUGUAGCCAACAUGUUCUCCCCGUGCAUGCGUGGGUUUUCUCCAGGGACCCCGGCUUCCUCCCACCAUCCAAAAACAUGCUUCAUGGGUUACUAAGUUGUCCAUUGGUUUGAAUGUGAAUGUGCAUGGGUCUGUGACCCUGCGACAGACUGGCGACCUGUCCAGGGUGUCCCCUGCCUCCGCCCAUAAGUGAUAGGCUCCGGCAGCCCCCGUGACCCCGAAACGGAUAAAACAGAAGAAGAUGAAUGAAUUGUAGCCAACUGGAAAGUCCCAAAUGUUGCACCAUUUCAAAUUCCCACUGGAGGCUGCUGGAAAGGUGAACAAUUUCCCAUUGGUUCUCAUGUAACUGCCACACACUGGGCAAGCUGUGUAAAACCACUGUAUAUGUAAUUUAGUCUGGAUUUCUUUUAGACAAUUUAAGGAAUUUGGAAUUAAUUUGGGCCAAACUUUCUGUAGCAAAUGUUCUUAUGCAAGAAAUAAAUAAACAUGAAUAAUGGCUGAAUUGGAUUAUGAUACAUUCUGUGAAAGAAAAUAAAACCCCUGGUGAACCCAUCAAA